CAGAGGACUUGGGGAGAGGAGAGGGAAGGGUAGGGAGGAUAUUGUCUUGCUUCUUGGAUACUGGCUCAGCCGCAGGAAGACAGGGCACGGGUCAGAGUUGUGAGGCCCUCGUUCCAGGCCGUAGCUCCCAGAUGACAUUUCCAGACACACCCUGGGCCAGAAGGGAACCGUCUCCCUUGAAAAGAAGGAGCCAGUCCUAAUGGGACACAUCACCUCCCAACCGAGGAGCCCUUGGGCCCUGAAGAACAGUAGCGAGACCCCGGCCACACUAGCGCUGGCUCAGGUGAGUCUCAGAGCCGCACGGGACCCUAGUGUGACCCAGCACAUUCCCAGCUGUGGUGGCCACAGGCAGAGACCCCUUCUGCUUGAGGAAAGGAGAGGGAAGAGGAAAGGAGACCCCACAGAGGACGAGGACAUCAGCUACUCAGGAGGCCGAAGCAGGAGAACCGCUUGAACCCGGGAGGCAGAGGUUGCAGGGAGCCAAGGUUACACAAUUGCACUCCAGCCUGGGCGAUAGAGCAGCACUCCACCCCAACAUAAACAAACAAAGAAAACAUAAAAUAGCUAGAAGAGAGGAAUUGCCACGUGUCAAGAAAAGACAAAUAAAGUCAACAAAAUAAUCUAAA